rnacentral:rRNA from 1 species
AGAGUGAACGCUGGCGGCAGGCCUAACACAUGCAAGUCGAGCGGCAGCGCAGCAGUAGCAAUACUGUGGGCGGCGAGCGGCGGACGGGUGAGGAACACAUCGGAAUCUACCCUGUCGUGGGGGACAACGUAGGGAAACUUACGCUAAUACCGCAUACGACCUUUGGGUGAAAGUGGGGGACUCGCAAGAUCCUCACGCGAUUGGAUGAGCCGAUGUCCGAUUAGCUAGUUGGCGGGGUAAUGGCCCACCAAGGCGACGAUCGGUAGCUGGUCUGAGAGGACGACCAGCCACACUGGGAUUGAGAACGGCCCAGACUCCUACGGGGGGCAGCAGUGAGGAAUCUUCCGCAAUGGGGGCAACCCUGACGGAGCAACGCCGCGUGCAGGAGGACGCUUUUCGGAGUGUAAACUGCUUUUCUCGAGGAAAACCGGACGGUACUCGAGGAAGAAGCCCGGCUAACUACGUGCCAGCAGCCGCGGU